UCGGGAAUUUUGGGCAAUGGGCGAAAGCCUGACCCAGCAACGCCGCGUGAAGGAUGAAAUCCUUCGGGAUGUAAACUUCGCAAGAACAGGAAGAAUAAGCCGGUGUUAAUAUCAUCGGUGAUGACGGUACUGUUUGUAAGCUCCGGCUAACUCCGUGCCAGCAGCCGCGGUAAUACGGGGGGAGCAAGCGUUGUUCGGAUUUACUGGGCGUAAAGGGCGCGUAGGCGGCCACCGCAAGUCAGUUGUGAAAUCUCUGGGCUUAACCCAGAAAGGUCAACUGAUACUGCGGGGCUAGAGUGCAGAAGGGGCAACUGGAAUUCUCGGUGUAGCGGUGAAAUGCGUAGAUAUCGAGAGGAACACCUGCGGCGAAGGCGGGUUGCUGGGCUGACACUGACGCUGAGGCGCGAAAGCUAGGGGAGCGAACGGG
rnacentral:rRNA from 1 species